GACGAACGCUGGCGGCGUGCCUAAUACAUGCAAGUAGAACGCACAGUUUAUACCGUAGCUUGCUACACCAUAGACUGUGAGUUGCGAACGGGUGAGUAACGCGUAGGUAACCUGCCUGGUAGCGGGGGAUAACUAUUGGAAACGAUAGCUAAUACCGCAUAAUAUUAAUUAUUGCAUGAUAAUUAAUUGAAAGGUGCAAUUGCACCACUACCAGAUGGACCUGCGUUGUAUUAGCUAGUAGGUGAGGUAACGGCUCACCUAGGCGACGAUACAUAGCCGACCUGAGAGGGUGGUCGGCCACACUGGGACUGAGACACGGCCCAGACUCCUACGGGAGGCUGCAGUAGGGAAUCUUCGGCAAUGGACGAAAGUCUGACCGAGCAACGCCGCGUGAGUGAAGAAGGUUUUCGGAUCGUAAAGCUCUGUUGUAAGAGAAGAACGGGUGUGAGAGUGGAAAGUUCACACUGUGACGGUAUCUGACCAGAAAGGGACGGCUAACUACGUG
rnacentral:rRNA from 1 species